GGACUUUUCUAGCACAGCCUUCACAGUGCAUGUAAACCUUAAGGACGAUUUCUUGCGGCGGAGGAGGUGGUUCUGGAGCCUCCGGCGCCGCCGCCGGAGGAGAAUCUUCUUUGGAGUCUUUAGUCGAUUCUCCUUCUUGAGUUUUCUUUUCAGAAUCUUCUCCUUUUUUCUCAUCAGCCUCCGCUUUCUUUUCUUCUCCUUUCUUCUCCUCUACUGCUUCUGGUUUCUUCUCCUCCAUUUUCUUCUCCUCUGCUGCUUCUGGUUUC
rnacentral:lncRNA from 1 species